rnacentral:rRNA from 1 species
GACGGAGGAUGCAAGUGUUAUCCGGAAUCACUGGGCGUAAAGCGUCUGUAGGUGGUUUAAUAAGUCAACUGUUAAAUCUUGAGGCUCAGCCUCAAAAUCGCAGUCGAAACUAUUAGGCUAGAGUAUAGUAGGGGUAAAGGGAAUUUCCAGUGGAGCGGUGAAAUGCGUAGAGAUUGGAAAGAACACCGAUGGCGAAGGCACUUUACUGGGCUAUUACUAACACUCAGAGACGAAAGCUAGGGUAGCAAAUGGG